rnacentral:rRNA from 1 species
UACGUAGGCAGCGAGCGUUGUUCGGAGUUACUGGGCGUAAAGGGUGUGUAGGCGGUCUUUUAAGUUUGGUGUGAAAUCUCCCGGCUCAACCGGGAGGGUGCGCCGAAUACUGAGAGACCUGGAGUGCGGGAGAGGAAAGUGGAAUUCCUGGUGUAGCGGUGAAAUGCGCAGAUAUCAGGAGGAACACCGGUGGCGAAGGCGGGUCUCUGGGCAGAACUGACGCUGAGGAGCGAAAGCGUGGGGAGCGAACAGG